CUGAACUCGGAGGGGCUCAGAUGAGCCAUGGACAUUGCUGGCGUCCUUCAGAGUCAGGCCAGAGUCCAAGGGGCAGAGCCUCAAGCAGAAAGCCCUCAGUAGAGCUGCAAACCAUUGCUGCUGUCCUCUGCCUGCAGAGAGGGCACUGGGAGGGGAGAGGAACCUCCAUCCAUCAGCUGCACGGUUGCAGCCCCCAGCUCCUGCCCAUGCCACCUACAGGCCCUGUCCUGUCCCUGCAGCCCUCGCUAACGUCUCUCUCUCCAUCUCUCUCCCUUGAAAGGCUGCAAUGACAUCCCCCAGCAGCCUGCUUCAGGCGAAGCUGAAGAGCUGUAGCUCAGCCUUCCUUUGUGGCAGAGCUGUUCCAGCUCCCUGUCUCCUUCUGUGGCCUUCUCUGGCCCCGCUCUUAACUGGUUGAUGCCUUCCCUGUGCUGGGGAGCUGGAUGCAGCAGGUGAGGAGGAGCCACAGCAGAGUGCAGUGGAAGGGCAGAGUCGCCUGCCCUGCUCUGCUGAGCACUUUGAAGAGCCAGAAGGUCCUGCAGCUGCAGCAGGAGCUUGUGCACGCUGGCAGAGUGCAGCCUCUGGCAGAGUCCUGCCACGAAGCCCAGAAGCUUUCCAGCAGCUGCCUGCAGCAGGAGAGCAGUGAGCUGCAGAGGGAGAAUGUCAGUUUGCAGGAGGAGCUGGAGAGAUCUGAAGCUAAGGGUCCAAGGUGAACAUUGCAGGCUGAGCAGCACAGCCCAGGAGCAAGCCAGGAGCACUGCAGCCCUUCAUAAAGACCUGCAAGCUGCUGCCUCGUGCCUGUGGAUGCCUUGGCCAGAAGGUGCAGCUCCAUACUGCAGCGAGCAGACCUCCCAAGAUGAACGUCCAGGACUCAGAAGGGACUCACUGCCACUGCCCAGAGCCGGAGGACCUGGCCUCGAUGGCAAGCUGCAGGGAGGCAUUCCUGGCUGGAGCGUGGCAAAGAGAGUUGGCCGUGGGCAGGCACAAGGUAGCAGGCCUGGCUGUGUGCUGCUCUCCAGCAGUGCCCCUGAGUGGAAGCGGAGCUGAGCCCAGCUCUGCUGUGCCCCCGUGCAGGGAGCUGCCUGCGAGCAGAGCCAGGCCUGGCACUGGAGCUUGCAAGGUGCUUCUGCACAUCAGCCCCUGGGCUUCCAGAGCUGCACAGGGCCUGGCAGGUGCAGGCUGCCUGCAGUGCCCCUGGGAGGGCAGGAAGGCUUUUCUGCCUGCCUUCAGGGAAAGCUGAGGCCCUGCGUGUGGGGUGUGGUGCUGGGGGCAGUGCUGGCUGCUGUCCCUGACUGCUGGCCCAUGGAGCACGGCACAGCUGUGCUGCCUGCAUGGGCACAUGGCAAAGGCCAACUGCUGCCUGCAGGUUGGAGGUGCUUCUGGAUGAGGCAGAGUUGAGGCCAGGGAUGGGGAGAGAGAGUGAAUGGCAGCUGAGUGUGCGUGAGAGGGAGAAGCAGCAGGAUGCAGAGUGGGAGAGAAAGAAGGCAAAAGAAAAAGCACAACAAAAGCUCUGCCAGAAGACUGCUCUGGUUUGGCACAGCCCUGGCCAGUCUGUGCCACCUGAUCAGCAGGCCCUGUGCUGGCUCUGGCCUCUGCUCCAGCCUCACCUUCUUCUGCAGAGCCACAGCAGAGUGGAGUAGGAAGGGAGAGGAACCUCCCUCGCUCUGCUGGGCCCCCUGCAGGUUUGAGCAAGGAGAGGAGUGAGAGGCAGCAGCACCUGGCCUGCUGGGGACUCCAUGUCCCUCUCCCCACUGCUAAUGAAGCACAAGGCUGAGAUCUUCCCCACUCUGCUGCUUGGGCCACGGAGAAGCAGUCGCAGGCUGCUGGCCUCAGCUGAGCUGCAGCAGCUGCAGGAGGCAGGGUGAGAGCAGGGGCUGAGGCCAAGCAAGUAAGGCUCAGCUCUGGAGCUGCUCCUGAGUGCCCCAGGGGUGGAGGAACCUUUGCAUCUACUCUGCCUUGCAGUGGCUUCUGCUGCUGGGCACUGAGCCCAGAGGAGGCAGGGCAGGGCUGUGCCACAGCAACAAAAGGUUACUCUGGAGAGCUGGAGGGUGUAGUUUGGAGAGUGGGAAGCAUUCAGCCUGGGCCUGGGCUGCAGCCCCCAAGGGGCAGAGCGGCUCAGGGUGAGGCUGGCCCAGGCUCAGGAAGCUGACAGGGCAGGGUCAGGAGAAGCUGCAGGCAGCAGCAGACAUUUUGCACUGAGCUGAGCUGCAGGACUGGAUGAAAAAGCUGAAAGCUGAGCUUUGUGCUGGCCUAGGCAGCGGUGGGGAGCAGCGGGAGGGAAGCUGCUGGGGGCACAGCAGGGCUGCUGCAGAGGCUGAGGUGGGGCAGGGGCAGGCGGCAGCAGAGUGCCCGGAG